AGGACGAACGCUGGCGGCGUGCUUAACACAUGCAAGUCGAGCGGUAAGGCCUCCUUCGGGGGGUACACGAGCGGCGAACGGGUGAGUAACACGUGGGUGACCUGCCCUCAGCUCUGGGAUAAGCCUGGGAAACCGGGUCUAAUACCGGAUGGGACUGCUUGCCGCAUGGUGGGUGGUGGAAAGUUUUUUCGGCUGGGGAUGGACCCGCGGCCUAUCAGCUUGUUGGUGGGUGAUGGCCUACCAAGGCGGUGACGGGUA
rnacentral:rRNA from 1 species